GGAAGUGUGAAAAGGGGAAAGGCAAAUAUUGGCCCCACUUAGCUCACAUUCCUGAAGUCAACGUACGUGAUGCUUCUAAGUUUUAAACCGUGUGGAGAUUCCCACCGCAAUACAAGCAGUCAAAUUGCCAGAAAUGUACUUUCAAGUAUCUGAAUACAAAGAAAGGCUUCUUCCGAUAGACUUCCUCGUUUGCUUUUAUUUCCCGAGGGAACCACAACAAAUGGAAGACUUCUCAUUUCUUUCCAACUUGGUGCAUUUGUCCCCGGAUAUCCUCUCCAUUCAGUGAUUGUUCGCUACCCCCAUGUACACUUUGACCACUCUUGGGGAAAUAUAGCUUUGGGAAAGCUUAUGUUUAGAAUGUUCAGAGUUUCACAAUUUUAUGGAGGUAAAGUAUCUUCCUGUUGUUUUACCCCUUGAAAAUUAGUAGGAAAAUGCUACCCGUUUUGCUCAGAAGGUGUUCACAUGUUAUUUACCUUAUACAUCACUAUUUUCCUAAUAUCCAAGGAGAUGAUUACGACAUUAUGUUACAGUUUAGGACAACAUAUCUGUGGUCUAGUCUUGGAUUGAAUCCUGGAAUAUUUCUUAGUCUUGAUUGGUUACACUAACUGUACAAACAUCUCAUUCCUAUGGGGACAUCAUGCUGCUUGCAAAAGCUUCCGAGUCCAAGCAUAUCACUUUUCGUGCUCCAUGUGCUUUGGCUUUUAUAGUUUAUCUUGCUUUUAGGUCGGCAAAAAUGAUCUUGUACUUCAUUCAAACAUUCUAUGAAGUGUUAGAUUUCAGCUUCUAAACUUAAUUUGAUGGCCUUUUUUGUGAUGGACCAAGAAUAUUUAAUGUAGCUGCAAUGAUGGAAUUUACAUUGUCUCCUUGGGAUCUCAUAAUGUAUUAGGUGUAGGCCUUGAAGCACACCAUUUAACGCUUAUAAUUCCUUUCCUCCAAAAUAAAUAAGUUGAAUUACUGUUUU